rnacentral:lncRNA from 1 species
UGUUUGGCCUACCUAUUACGCGAACACUGCCCUCCAGUUGGACCUCGGGCUCUCCAUGCCUCCUCGUCCUCCUCGCUCCCUCUACAUCGUUCCCCUGCUCCUCGCUAGUGAAAGAGCAGCUGUUUGGCCUGCCUAUUACGCGAACACCGCCCUCCAUUUGGACCUCGGGCUCUCCGUGCCUCCGUGUCCUCCUUGCUUUCUCUCCAUCAUUCUCAAGUGCCCCGCUAGUGAAAGCGCAGCAGUUUGGCCUGCCCAUUACGCGAACACCGCCCUCCGUUUAUGCUCCUCGCGAGCGUACGCUUAGGUCUGCAGAUGGCCGGUUUCGCGAACACCGCCCUCUAGUUGGACCUCGGGCUCUCCGUUGUUCCUCGUCCUCCUUGCUCCUUCUCCUUCGUUCUCAUGCACCUCGCUAGUGAAAGAGAAGCUGUUUGGCCUUCCUAUUACGCGAACACCGCCCUCCAGUUGGAUCUCGGGCUCUCCGUUGCUCCUGGUCCUCCUCGCUCCCUCUACAUCGUUCUCAAGCGCCUCGCUAGUAAAAGAGAAGCUGUUUGGCCUGCCCAUUACGCGAACACCGCCCUCCGUUUAUGCUCCUCGCUAGCGUACGCUUAUGUCUGCGGAGGGCCGGUUUCUCGAACACCGCCUUCGGUGAGGACCUCUGGAUCUCCUUUGCUCCUCGUCCUCCCUGCUCCCUCUCCUUUGUUCUCAUGCCCCUCGCUAGUGAAAGAGCAGCUGUUUGGCCUGCCUAUUACGCGAACACCGCCCUCCGUUUAUGCUCCUCGCUAGCGUACGCUUAUGUCUGCGGAGGGCCGGUUUCGCGAACACCCCCUUCGGUGAGGACCUCGGGAUCUCCGUUGCUCCUCAUCCUCCUUGCUCCUUCUCCUUCGUUCUCAUGCGCCUCGCUAGUGAAAGAGAAGCUGUUUGGCCUUCCUAUUACGCGAACACUGCCCUCCAGUUGGACCUCGGGCUCUCCGUUGCUCCUCGUCCUCCUUGCUCCCUCUACAUCGUUCUCAAGUGCCUCGCUAGUGAAAGCGAAGCUGUUUUGCCUGCCUAUUACGUGAACACCGCCCUCCAGUUGGACCUCGGGCUCUCCGUGUCUCCUCCUCCUCCUUGCUCCCUCUCAUUGUUCUCAAGUGCCUCG